UUCCGGUUGAUCCUGCCGGACCUUACUGCUAUCGGGGUGGGACUAAGACAUGCGAGUCGAGCGUUUCUAGCUAUGUUGAGACGCGGCAUACGGCUCAGUAACACGUGGCUAACCUACCCUCAGGACGGGGACAAACCCGGGAAACUGGGGCUAAUAUCCGAUAGGCGAGGAAUCCUGGAAUGGUUCUUCACCCAAAGGACAUUGGAAACAUGCUUUCUCUGUCGCCUGGGGAUGGGGCCGCGACCGAUCAGGUUGUUGGUGAGGUAAUGGCUCACCAAGCCUUUGACCGGUACGGGCCAUGAGAGUGGUAGCCCGGAGAUGGACACUGAGACAAGGGUCCAGGCCCUAAGGGGCGCAGCAACCGCGAAACCUCCACAAUGCACUAACGUGCGAUGGGGCUAUCUCGAGUGCCACCUGAUGAAGGUGGCUUUUCCUUGGUCUUCAAAGCCUUGGGAAUAAGAGGGGGGCAAGACUGGUGUCAGCCGCCGCGGUAACACCAGCCCCUCGAGUGGUGGGGAUGAUUAUUUGGCCUAAAGCGUCCGUAGCCGGCCGUGAAAGUCUUCCGUUAAAUCCAGCGUCUCAAGCGUUGGACCGCGGGAGAUACUACACGGCUAGAGAGUGGGAGAGGUCAGCGGUAUUCUGGGGGUAGGGGCGAAAUCCUUUGAUCCCCGGAGGACCACCAGUGGCGAAGGCUGCUGACUAGAACACGUCUGACGGUCAGGGACGAAAGCUGGGGUAGCGAACCGGAUUAGAUACCCGGGUAGUCCCAGCCGUAACGAUGCAUGCUAGGUGUUG
rnacentral:rRNA from 1 species